AAUCAACGCUGGCGGCGUGCCUAACACAUGCAAGUCGCACGAGAAAGGGGAGCAAUCCCUGAGUAAAGUGGCGCACGGGUGAGUAACACGUGACUAACCUACCCUCGAGUGGGGAAUAACCUAGAGAAAUCUGGGCUAAUACCGCAUAACACUUACGAGUCAAAGCAGCAAUGCGCUUGAGGAGGGGGUCGCGGCAGAUUAGCUAGUUGGCGGGGUAAUGGCCCACCAAGGCAAUGAUCUGUAUCCGGCCUGAGAGGGCGCACGGACACACUGGAACUGAAACACGGUCCAGACUCCUACGGGAGGCAGCAGUGGGGAAUUUUGCGCAAUGGGGGAAACCCUGACGCAGCAACGCCGCGUGGAGGAUGAAAUCCCUUGGGAUGUAAACUCCUUUCGAUAGGGAAGAUAAUGACGGUACCUAUAGAAGAAGCCCCGGCUAACUUCGUGCCAGCAGCCGCCGUAAC
rnacentral:rRNA from 1 species